rnacentral:lncRNA from 1 species
UCGAAAAAUACAGAUAUUUAAAUAAAUAUAAACACACACAUAUUCAUACCUUUUCGUUGUAUCCCUAUUAUUGACCUAAAUUAUCGUCGCCUAUAUUAUCUUCGUUGUGACCGAACUCUGUGUCUAUACAUCUUUUCUAUAAUCUAUAUUAUUGCCGAAUCUUUUGGUAAUCGAUACAUGAUUCAAAGCAUGAAUCUUUUCUAAUUUCCUGUGAGAUUUGAUUACUUUUUGGCCAUUUAUUAUUUCAUUUUUUUCUGCAUUUAGGGGCUUUUGAAUUGAAUUUAUGGCUUAAUCUAUUUUUUAUAUUUUUUAUGCAGAUAUGGUGAAAGUCAGGAGAAUUCUCAAUUGCUUCGUCACAGUUUCGAAAUUUGUAUGGUUUCUUACAAC